rnacentral:tRNA from 1 species
UAUCAGAUGGCUGAAUAAUAGGUGAGAGUUUUUUACACUCUGAAUGAUUGAUAUCUCUGGUCA